rnacentral:sRNA from 1 species
GGAUGGAUUUAGUCUGGUUGGACUUUCUCAGGAAAGGCAGCUGAACUCAUGACUAGUACCAGUUCCAUGGUUCCUGGAUGUUGCAAAUAAAGGCAUCCUCUCUCACUGCCUGUCCACCUUUCUUACCCAGUCAUUGUCCUCCAUGGUGCAGAGAGGUGUGUGCAGCUGUGCCAGUCUUGUUCACUAUGGGAUGGAAGAGGUCCCUGACCUGUGAGCCUAGAUGUUCAUCCACAGAGCUUGUAAUUCUGAUUGGUGCAACAGUCAGGAAGAGUGAAAGAUGUCAUCUCCCAAGGACAAGUGCUGUGCUAGUGGACACUGAGGAACUUCAGGGAUCAAACCCUUCCCCAUUCUUCUUCAGCCUCUCUUGUUCUUCGUUGAGAUGUUUCCUGAAGAUCUAAAAGAUCCAGGCAAUCCAUGACAUGGGUUUGAACAUAAUCUCGACAUUUUAUUCAUUGCCUGAUAACUAAGACUAGGAAUGGCUCUGCAUGUGGUCAACACACACUACCCUGGAAGACCAGAGAGUUCAAGGACGGCCAACUUUCACUUAAGCAAACUUUUUCACAGAGUGUGUGGGUCCCAUCAGCAGAGAGUAGCCUCCACAUUGCAAUGAUGUGCAAACUUCUGCCUUUCAGCCAUGAUGGACUUUAGGAUCUACCCUGAGGACCCUCCACAAGCCACAGGUGGGUGAUGUGUAAAUUGGGCAUGUUAUUGGGUCAGGUCUUCAGUGCAGUGCCUUAAGCUGACAGCCUUUUGGGAGGGCAUAUGCUUCUCUAUUAAAUGAACUGGUUCCACUGUU